rnacentral:rRNA from 1 species
AUGCUAGAGAAAGUGCCCAUGACCUGCACAUUGUGCUCUACAGAAUCAACAAGGAAAGAAAAGCUUGGACAAAAGGAAUGUGGAAGGCAACUCCCAAUCAUCUCUUUCAGAAACCAGAAGUUGGUUCUGUUUGAGUUCCACACAAAACAAUUCAAGGCCUCUUUGAUUUGUAGGAUUCCAGGGGAACAGGAAAAACGUAGAAUUGAAAUCCUAUCAAAUUGGAAAGAGAACUACAGAUGUUGCCGCCAAGUGCCAAUGAUCUCUAAUACUCCCUCCGUAAAGAAAUAUACAAGAAAACAGAAUUGUAGCAAGAGAUUUGGGUUGGUGGAAACUUCCCUCCGAAAAAGAGCUCAUAUAGAAUCCUUAGGACAAAUUCCUAAGGAUUCAAAUCCUGUGAACCAAAUGACCUCCACCAGAAAAGAUAAAAUAAAAAACUUAUGA